AUUGAACGCUGGCGGCAGGCCUAACACAUGCAAGUCGAACGGCAACAGGAAAAGGCUUGCUGCUUUCCUGUCGCGUGUGGGAGGCGGGAGUGAUGUACGGGGAACUCUACGUUGGAGGGGGGUAUCAAGUGGAAAAGGUAACGAAUAUAGCAUAAACGCGCAAGACCAAAAAGGGGGGGCUUAUGGCCCCUUGCCAUAGGAAGUGCGCAGAUGGGAUUAGCUAGUAGGCGGGGUAACGGCUCACCCAGGCGACGAUCCCUAGCUGGUCUGAGAGGAUGAGCAGCCACACUGGAACUGAGACACGGUCCAGACUCCUACGGGAGGCAGCAGUGGGGAAUAUUGCACAAUGGGCGCAAGCCUGAUGCAGCCAUGCCGCGUGUAUGAAGAAGGCCUUCGGGUUGUAAAGUACUUUCAGCGGGGAGGAAGAGAGUAAAGUUAAUACCCUUGCUCAUUGACGUUACCCACAGAAGAAGCACCGGCUAACUCCGUG
rnacentral:rRNA from 1 species